rnacentral:lncRNA from 1 species
UUGUAUUUUAAUUUGCCUAUAUUGAAGAAGACUUGUUUUGCCUCCUACAUCCAUGAAUGUUAGGAAUUAGAAAUUUCACCCUUUAUUAAUUUACCAGCACAGAGAAGCCAAUAAAAAUGUGUGGAUCACUUAUAAUCAAUAAAAAGAAUCUCAUUGCUUAUGUACUUUGUAUACAUAGUGAAACAAAAAAAGUACACAUUUAUUGAGAGUCAUUCUAUUCAUAUAUCCGUAGUUUAAUAAAGAAUGUCUGUGGCAAUGUAAUCAGCUUUUGGAAGCCUCUAUAUAU